rnacentral:rRNA from 1 species
CCAAUAGCGUAUAUUAAAGUUGUUGCAGUUAAAAAGCUCGUAGUUGAAUUUCGGGACUAAUAUGUCGGUCGUACUUUGUACGUACUAGCAUUAUUGGUUUCUCCCUUCUGACGAACCACGAUGUCAUUAAUUUGGUGUCAUGGGAAAUCAGGACUGUUACUUUGAAAAAAUUAGAGUGUUUAAAGCAAGCUCGCGCUUGAAUACAUUAGCAUGGAAUAAUGAAAUAGGACGUUUGAUUCUAGUUUGUUGGUUUCUAGGAUCGACGUAAUGAUUAAUAGGGAUAGUUGGGGGCAUUAGUAUUCAAUUGUCAGAGGUGAAAUUCUUGGAUUUAUUGAAGACUAACUACUGCGAAAGCAUUUGCCAAGGAUGUUUUCAUUAAUCAAGAACGAAAGUUAGGGGAUCGAAGACGAUCAGAUACCGUCGUAGUCUUAACCAUAAACUAUGCCGACUAGGGAUCGGAUGAUGUUAAUUUUUUAAUGACUCAUUCGGCGCCUUACG